rnacentral:siRNA from 1 species
UCGCACAAGUCUUGAGGAGGCAUG